rnacentral:lncRNA from 1 species
AUUUAAUUUUGACCAUCCUACAAAAAUAGUUUGACUUUAGUGUCACAGCCUAGGUUGAAAUCGCCCGUUGGCAUCUUCAUGAAUCAAGUAAGGAAGGCACUUUAGUGUGCUAAUAAGAAUUCUGAAUGUCAAAUUGGAAGAGCUGAGGAGACAAGUGCAACAUCUCCAAUAGCAUUCCAUAAAGCCUCAGUUCAUGAUGAUGCUUGUCCAAAGCUUUGGUUAGAAUUGUGGGAAGACAUUAAUAAAGUACAGAUAUUUUAGCCACCAAAAGAGGGGGGGAGGACUAUAGUCUUCCUCAUUUUCAUCUUCACAACUUGCAUCAAGAAACUCAUUCCUUGGAGUACAAUGAUGGAGUUCAAUCAUUGCAUAAUUUGGUGUUGGCAUUUCUGUGAUAGAUCUCAACUACAGAUUCAUGAUGUUGUCCACUCUCAUCCUUAUGGCAGAUAUCCUAAUGUCUUCAAGCUCACAAUCAAGGUGCAGAAGCAAUUUGACACUUAGGAGGGGCAGAUUCAGAGUUCCAGCUACCUUUAUUAGCAUGAAGGUGAUACUUGAACGUAGAUCUCUACAUCCACUAGUGACUUUUCUAAUUCCAUCAUUGGCAACUUCAGUGCAGAAACAUCUAAAGGCAAAGGAAGCGAGUUUUGUUUAUUACCAAGCCAUUUGAACACUCUCAACCACUAGAUUAGUUCUUAUCUCAUCUUCCCCUGAAUUCCUUUUUGAAGCAUGGAGUAGCUAGUUUUAGCUCUUCGACUACCUUGUUUGAUAGAAACAUUGCACCAUUCAAGCUCCGAAGCUUUGGAGUUUGGACAUAUCACUUCUAGAUGUCCCAACUAUAGUAUCAUCAACUUUAUGAAGGUCCUCAUUACAGAAGACCUAAUUGGUGUUUUUCCAAUCUGUGGUGCGAGAAAGGAAAAUGAGGAAGGAUCCAAAACCAAUAAUCAUUGUCAAGUUGGUAUCAUUAUAUCUUGAAUUUAUCUCAUGUCAAACAGGAUGAUUGGUUUUGCAGCAAUAUCUCCCAAACAAGGUGCCUUAUUCAUCUUCUAGUUAAGCAAUAUCAUGCCAAGAAGAUCUAGUCAAUGUCACACUUGCUACUUUGGCAUCCAUGCAAUGUGAUGGAAGAGUUUUUCAUGAUGGAUUCAAAUAUACUUUCACCUUUCUAUAAAUUGAAGUUAAGGUUAGUAUGGUCUUCCUGGAGUGAAAAGCACUUUUCAACCCUCCAUAAGAAACGGUGAUAAAUGGAGAGAUCUGGUGAGUCUUAUUAUUUAGUUUAUAUAUAGAAGAUAUUGAGUGGAAAUCAUUCCACUUACUAUAGAAAUUCUUCUUAGUAGCGGAAGAGGUUCCAUCUGGCCCUCAUACCUAAUGCUGCUUUUCUAAAUAUACUCACUUUAUAACAAGCCCAAAAGAAAAUGAGGAUACAGAGAGAGAAGCAAAUGAAAUCCUGAGAUUCUGGUGAAGAAAAGCACAAGCAGUUGUAUUGCCCUGCCAUCCUAUACCUUUUUCUAUAACAAAAAAAAAAAAGAUGGACAUGACAAAUGUUCAUGGAUGGUAGAACAAUGAGAAGGAUCACGAUAAGGCAUCCUUUUCCUCAUUCUAGACCUCUUGAAGGUGAAUCAUGAAAGUGGCUACCACAAAAAAUUAGAGGUGAGACACAGAAAUGAACGAGGACUACUGAAAGAAAGAGAUGAUUUUUUGAAUGGACAGUGAUACCUUUUGAGCUAUCUUAUGCCAUAAGCAUCCUUAUGAAGCUCCAAGUUAUUAUGCCAUGUGGAGAUGGAUUUAUCAUCGAUUGCACAAGCCUAGAGGAUCACAUGCACCAUCCAGCCAAAUCUUUGAGCUCCUUAGGACCGAAGACUUUAUUCAAAUCUAAUGACUCUGGACAAGUAGCUUCAUCUUUUUCGACUCUUUUGUUCAUCUUAGAAAAGUUUGGCAAUCAACUUUAAUAUCCUAAUUUCGUCCAUGGUAUUCAAAUCUUACAUGACCACCCACUCUUACCUCUUUGUCAUUUAAAUAAAAAAGUUUAAUGAUGGUCCUCAUCAUGAAAUGUCUGAAGUCUUGUAAGUAGAUAAAGGAAGUAGAAAAGCGUUAUAAUCUUGUCAAAAAGAACAGAAAGGAUGAUCCUAUCCUUUCCCUUUCUGACUUUGGUACAGCUUUGGUUGUAUACUUUGAUUCAUUAGAUAUGGAAUUUGCUCUCAUGCUAACAUAAAAAGAUAAGCAUGUGAAAUUAGAAAGAAACUUGACAAUUCCCUUCAAGAAAUUAUCUUCCUGUGAUAAAGAGAUUUGUGCAUAGCAUUACCUCAUAUCCGAAGAGCUAAUCCUGUAUUGGAUCAUGAGGUGUAAUACUUCAUAAAAUAUUGAACUAGCUUGACAAUUGGCAUUGCCAUAUGUGUAGAGUUCCUCUAGGUUUUUUCUUGAUUAGAUUUGAGGAGGUCCUUUAAUAUCCUUAACUUCAAUGAAUGUUGUGUUGGAUUUUCUCCCAAGAAAAAGGAAGUUUUGUUGGAAACUUUAACUCUUUAUAGAAGUUUUCAGAGCUCAAAAUUUUCAGUGGUAGACCGUUGGCUUACCACUAUGGUUUUAAAUAAGUAUUUUAGUAACCAUUGAACUAUUUUGUGUAAAAUGCUUUUAAAAUGUUUCAAAUGUUGGAAUCCCAUGGAGUAGUCCCUGUUGCAACUGAAGCACUAUUUCAUUAAUAGAAAUACCAUUUUUUAUACUGUAGCUUGCUUGUUUUCUUUUAUGAAGUUUCAUGGUUUGAUUUUGUGUUUCUCAAAAGAUGUUUCAAACAAAUGGAUGGAUACGCUUGGGAAUCCAAUGGGUGCUAUAAUUCAUUGGACAGAUCCAUUGGUCUUUUAUAUAUUGGCUUUCUUUCUCUAUCUCAUGAGAAAGAACCCUGACUUUCUCUGUCUGUCUCUGUCUCUGUCUCUCUUUCUCUCUCUAAAAUGGGGCUCUUCCCUAAGGGACUCUAGAACGGAAGUUUGUUUGCUCACUUUUCGUUUGCAAAGAUGUUCUGGGUCUCAAGAGACUGCUGGUUCAAAAUUGUACCACUCUUUUUUAGUGAACACAAUAUCUGCAUGUCGUUGAUGUGGUAAUACUUUGGGAGUAGAGGAGCGAUGUUAACCUUAUGCACCUAGAAGCUAGAAAGGCUUAGUCUUCUCCAUGAAGGUCAUCAGUGAUGGGCCUCUAUUCCCCCAACCACACCAAGACCCAUCAUUUGGUUAUUUUUACUUUUAUGUUGCUGAGUUAGUAAUAAGUAGUAGAUCCUUCAAUUCAUGACCCUGAAAUUGGUUUACUUCCAAAAAGGUUCUAAUUGUUAAAGAGUAUAUUUUUGGGGGGGUUACUAUGUCUAUUGUGUCCUUUUUGCGGGGUUACUAUGUGUAAUUGCAUUUGUGCAAAUAAUAGGGAUUUAUAUGCUUAUUGAUUUUGUAUGAAGUCCCAAAGCACCACAAUAAAAACUGUGAAGAGAACAAAGUGGAAUCGUUGCCAAUAGAUUCGAAAACUAUAGACCUCUUGUGAUUAUAAAUUUUUGCUUCUUAAAUAAUUCAAACUGGUUUUUCUUGAAUAUAAAAUCAUAAUUUUAUAGUGUAAAUGCCUUUGAUGGAGGAAAUCUUUAUGUUGUAUUUAAAACGUUCAUUUUGGAAUAGUGGUUUUAAUUGUUUAUAGCAUGUUUCAAAAGCCAUUGAGAUGGGAUCGUACAACCGCUACAAUACCAUGUCGGUGUGAAACUGGCACCCGUACAGGUGCCAGGAUGCUGAAACACUUGUACUGCUGGCCACACCAGUUCAUGCCGAUGCGUACUGGCAAUAUCGUACCAAUUGUCCCAGUCGAUAUUGUAUCAGCUAUACUAGUCGAUACCGAUGUUUCUUCAAUUUUUGGAAUAUGUUAGUUUUGGUACAUACCAUUGAUACCAGUGCCAUACUGAUAGCAUACCAUUCCAAUAUGAAAAUGGUGCAAAGUUCGGUAUCGGUAUUUAAGAGGUUAGUUUGUAGAUGCUUGUGUAUGUUGUACCCUAUUAAUCAUUAUAUUAUCUUGUUCUUACGCUUGAUAUAACAAAUGCUCAAGGAGACUUUUAUGCUUUGUAACUGUUAAAAUUGGUGUUGUCUAUGCAUAGAAGAAUACUCUAAUCUUGAUUAAAGUACUUUUACAUUUUUGCAUUGGAAUUUAUGCUCAUUGCAGCAUGCCGAGGUUCCAAUUCCCUCACCAAAGAAAGAUGAGAUUUUGUUAAAGUUGGAAGCAACAAGUAUAAAUCAAAUUGAUUGGAAAGUUCAGAAAGGCAUGCUUCGGCCAUUUUUGCCGCCCAAAUUUCCAUUCAUACCAUGUAAGUCUUGCUCGUCAAAUAAACAAGAUAAUUGUUCUUUUAUGUGGUUGUGGGGAUAAUUCUUCCUUUAGAGUGCUGAUGGAAUUCAUUGCUUAACUUUUGCUCAAGUACCUCUCAGUGAUUUGAUCAGAAUAAUGAAUUUUUGUUGUCUUGUCUUCUACGCAAUGCCUUUUAAUUUUGGAAAUCAGGCUUAGGACAACCUUUUAUAGGACUAAUGCAUUUGUUUUCAUUUCUAUUAUCUAUGCUUAACCCAAGGUAGUUAAGCUGUCGGGUGACUAAAUUACAGAAGCGCACACAGUUUUCUUCCCUUGUAAUUAGAGGUGAUAUUGAGGGAACCAAGGGGAAGCAAGAUUGUCAGAAAACUGUAGUAUAGCAUCUGUAUGUAAAUGCACUUAUUUACCAUUUUAGUCUUUUCUUAAUGAACUAGUUAGCUCUAGGUAGUAAAUGGUUUAGGCUGUGGAAGAUGGAGCUUGAAGAGAAGCUAAGCCUAGAGGUGGACAAAGGUGUAACACUCAAAAUUUCAAUUCAAAUUACUUAAUUAUGCAAAGAAAAAUAGAUGCAAAUUUAAGGCUGGUGACAUGAGAAAUUAGAUCAUGCUCAUGGUUUAGUGGAUAAGGCUUAGCCACUUUUGUCUUUUGAACAGAAAUUUUGUGUCCCACAAUGUCUCAUGCCACUAGCGAAUGAUAAAGUGAUUAUUAAUGAAAUUGUUAAUAAAGGUGAAUGGAAGAAAGAAAAGGAUCUCCAAGAUAUGGAAGAAGAAAAUUUUAAGAUGAAAAUACGAGUGCGGUUCAAGGUAAAUGUUUAAGAAAGUUUCAAGAAAAUUUUAACAAAGGAAAUGGAUUUGAUCUGGUGGAAAAACUAAAAAUCAUGCAUAAGGAUAUAGCUUAAAAGACGUGGGAGGAAGAAGAUCAAAGCUGAAGUAAGGAAAUGGAUGAGAAACUUUGGAGUAAAGGAGUUAUAAUUAUAAGGAAGCUAAAACAAGCCUGAUUUGAUUCUGAUGUAUGGAAGAAAUUUGAAAAGUCAAAAUUAAAGGGGAAGAAAUAUUAGAAUAAGUUUGAAAGAAAGAAAAGAAAGAAAAAUGCUGCAUGCUUGCCAAACAUCAGUCCCUAGAGUUGGUCAACUGCUGGUUAAUGGAGUGUUAUACUAAAACCUCAGCCUUGGAGAGCAGUGGGAUGGAAGACAACCAAAUAGAGAGGCAUAUGAUGUGCUAUACUGCUAUAUAGUUAAGGAUUGGAAUUGAAACCACGAAAGCAAUAUAUGUUGAACCAGGAGGAAGUAGAGUAUUAGCCAUAGACAAUAUAUGCUGAUCUUGAGUCUUAGGUACCCUCAGACCUGAUAACUCAAUGGCCAAGCAUCAGGUACCCUCAGGCCUAGAACUCAAGAGACAAGCCAUUUAGUUUUAUUUUAGCACAAGAAACCCCAAAAAUAAAUUUUCAUAUAAAAAAACUAUAAAUAAGAAACCCGCUAAAAAAAUUUGAGACAGUAGUCAACAUGGUGUUGGUACUUAUGUGUAUAAUUUAUCGUUAUAUAUUUAUUCUAGGAUCUGGAAAUUAAAAUUUACUAUUUUUUUUUCUCUUUCCUGAUACAUGAAUAGAAAGUAGCAACAGGCCUGAUAGCAUUAGGAACAACUUUGUUUCCUUCAGCGCAUAACACCAAUGCCUCUUGUGACUGAGAAUUAUAUGUUUCGUGGAGUACUAUUUUUUCAAUUUAUCUCUGUUUAAAUUUUGGGUGAUAUCUUCCUGUUGCCCUUCUUUUCUAAUAUUGCAUUUUUCACUGAGUCAAGCAUUAUGGAAUAAAUUUAUAAUGCAUUGCUCUGAAACAGGUGUUGAUGUAGCAGGAGAAGUUACUGAGGUAGGUCCUGGAGUGAGCUCCUUUACAGCAGGUGACAAAGUUGUUGCCAUGCUUAACCUUCCGGUGAGUCAUCAACUUUUGUAAUCUUUUUUUUGCACUUGCUUCAAGGGAUGGUAGGCAGUAAGUGAAAGGAAACCACAUAAACAGUACAUAUUUAACUUCAACAAUGGUAGUUUUUGCUGCUUGAACCAGAUAAAAAAUAGUAGUAAACUAAAACAAAGCAGAUUAUAGUUCUGUCUUUUUCCUUUUGGGGUUGGGGGGGGGGGGGGUGGUCACUCACCAUAGCUUUCAAGAUUCCCAUACUUUAUCUCCUUUUCAGACAACUUAAUUAUGCCUCAGAUAAGCUUCUUUUGGCAUUAUAAUAUCGAACUGUCCUUAGUUUGUCGCUGAUCUGUGUCAAAAUCAUCUUUGUAUUCAUUGAUCCAGAUGGCUUCGAAGCCUCACUCAUGAUGUUAUUGUUAACAUGUGAUUUUCUUGAAUGGAUAACUAUUUUCCAAAUUGAUUUUUAUUGAAGCAAAAUAAGAAACUAGUAAAAGAUUAUGCUGAACACUUGCAUGAUUCCAUUUUUAUGAAACAUACAAAGUUGGCUGCUUUGGUCCAUUGGCAUUCUUGUGCCAAUGAGCAGCCGUACUCGUGCCGUCAUUUACAUUGUUGAUGUUGCUGUCAUGGCAAUGCUGUUUGAUGAUGUGUCGGGUUCAUAGUGGUAGGAUAAGAUGGUUCCUGUUGGUAAUGAAGUCAUCUCACUGCAAGGUGGCUGCUGCACAUCUUUUCUUAUCAAUGAUGGCUCGUCACAUUAUUAGAAGAGCAUAAACUGAUAUUCGAGAGCAGGCAGCAAAGUAUCUACUUGGUGCCCAAGCCCUUGUGCUUGUUUCCCAUUCUUCUAAAUCAGGAUUCACUUCUUGACAGAAUAGUGGUGGUCUUGCCGAGUACACCGUGGCACCAGCGGCCUUUACAGUCAGUAGGCCUUCUGAAGUAUCUCCAGCUGAAGGUGCUGGCCUGCCCACUGCUGCUGUUAUUGCCCUCCAGGCACUGAAGGCUGCUGGGACCAAGUUUGACAGCACUGAUGAGCCAUCAAACAUCCUGAUCACCGCCGCCUCUGGUGGCGUGGGACAUUAUGCUGUCCAGCUCGCCAAGCUUGCAAACCUCCAUGUGACAGCUACCUGCGGUGCUCGUAACUUAGAGCUUGUGAAGAGUCUGGGUGCAGAUGAGGUGCUGGACUACAAGACUCCAGAUGGUGCAAGCUUGAAGAGCCCGUCGGACAGGAAAUAUGACUCUGUUAUCCACUGCACCACCGGCAUUGCCUGGUCCACCUUCGAGCCUAAUCUGACUGCUAAUGGAAAAGUCAUCGACGUAACUCCAUCCAUCAAGGCUGUGGCUACUUCUGUCUUCAAAAAGGUGACCUUCUCCAAGAAGACGCUGGUGCCGUUGCUGUUAUCACCAAAGGGGGAGGACUUGAAGUUCAUGGUAGAUUUGGCGAAGGAAGGGAAGAUCAAGACAGUGGUGGAUUCGAGGCAUCCUUUGAGCAGAGCAGAGGAGGCUUGGGCUAAGAGCAUAGAUGGUCAUGCUACAGGGAAAAUUGUUGUGGAAAUGUGAAAGGUCUUCGAGUGGUGGUGUCUCGAGGCAUUUAUCAGAGAAUAAGAGGACAAUGUGGCUGCUGCUGUUAGGAGGCUGUCGUUUGAAGCUGUCGUUCUAUUGCAUUGUGUGUGUGGUGCAAGAUCAGGUUUGAGAGUCUUGGUUCUUGCAUGUAGUAGUGAUUGUAGUAGUGAUUGUGCCAAUUAUUUCUGAAUGAUGCCCCAUAAACUUGCUGUAUUUGUUUCUCUCGAAAAAAAAACUUGCUGAAUUGAGGCUUUCUGAAAGUAAUAUGAAUAUCCCAUGUUCAUGGUUGAUACUUGCUACUUGCUAGCUCUUAUGUCCCAGGAUCCAUGUGCUUUUUGUCCAACACUCGGGGUUUGCAGUCUCACUGGAGUUACUGUAACUACUACAACAUGUAAUUUUAGUUACUUGUAACUAAGAUGGUCCAGCAAACACCAAAAACUAUUCAUACAGCUGAUUCAACUCUCGGCGGACCUUUUAUUUAUUUUAUUUUAUUUUAUUUUAUUUUUUAUUUUUUUACUGUGGUUCCAUUUAGGGAUGAAAGUAGGUCAGAUAAGAUCCAUCUGGAUCUGUUUUCAUAUUCAAAUCUAUCUGGAUAUAGAUAGAAAUUUGAAUAAUUGACUAAUAUCCAUAUCCGUAUCCAUAUCGGUCAAAAAAAUAUGGAUCUGGAUAUCAAUAGAUAACUAUCCGAUACGUAUCCGAAUAUUCGACUUCAUUUAUAACUCUAUUUAACUUUAUAUAGCACUCAUGAACUUUUAAGAAAAAUAAAUAACCGCGUUGACAUGCUAUUAACUUAAUUUAUUACCCACUUAGUAAUAUCUUUGAUUCUGUGGCCAUAAAGUUUAAUUAUCCGAUUUGCAUUUGUAUUUAUAUCCAUACUCUCGGUAUCCAAUUUGUAUCCGUAUAUAUUUAAAAUAAAUAGAGAUAUAAAUUUUGGCUUCUGACUAACAUUCAUAGCUGUUUCCGUCAAACAAAACAAAUAUGGAUUUUGAUAUGUUGGUAUCCGAUCUAAUUUUAGCCCUAGUUCCAUCCGACAAGCAUAUAUAAAUCAAACAAGCAUUAGUGGCAAAAUUUGGCGUGUAUGAUAUAUAUAACAGGGCAUCAUUAAAAUUGCAAUCCAUAAAUUAGAAUGCCUUCAAAAGUGCCUGUCUGCACCCAUGGUAGAUCUUGAAUACAUGGGAUAUUAUACAAUGGAUGGCAGGGAGAUGCAAAGAAAAUGAUGCACCGAAAGGGUUGGCCAUGGGCAUAUUCAGUUCGGAGCCUCCAACCACAUGCCGAUUCGGACUACUCACAUUCCAUCCAAGAGGUAAUUUGUGGCAUCACAAAGUCCUUGAUUGCAGGCUCUGUGAUCGUUCCUAGUUAUAUCUUUUCUUCCUUUGCCUCUUACUGGCAUUAUAUGAUUGCAGCCUUUCAUUUAGAUCGUAAUUUCCUCAUCAAUAUCAAGAUAUCUAAGCUUGAAACAAUACCCGGAUCCAGGUACCAUGGGUUGAUGAUGCUACCGUAAGCAAGUGAUGUCGUCUCGACAUGGCAUUGCUUCAAUUGUUAACACAUGUUGUCAAAAUUUUCAAAACAAAUUAAUAGUUGUCAUCGUAAAAUUUCAAGGACAAGUAUCACUCAUUGCAGUCAUCUCAGUUCAAAAUGAGUUCCAUACAAUGAUGAGUAGCAUCAUGAUGCUGCUACCUAGUAGAGUAGUUUAGUUUUACUUCCAUUUAUUCUAUUAUCAGUCAACCAUGUUUUGGUAAUGAGAUUAACUUAUGGAAACUAGAUGAUAGGCCCAAGCACGCACUUAUGGAAACUAUAUGAAUACUACAGAGUGCUUCUUUUCUUACUUCAUUUUUGUGGGAAAAGAAAUUCUAGAGGUGUACCAGUUAAUGGAGUGAUGGUAAGUCUCAGAAUGUCUUUAGAAGAAAAAGGAGGAAAAGAAACUUGGGUUGGUGAGACUUCGAUUUGAUCAAUGCAACCAAAGACUAAUUAACGCAUUUCCAUCAAGCCACAGGGAUCGCUGGGUCUUUCCUUAGACCAACUCUGGGAUCAUUGUAUUCACAUGUAUCCACAUAAAAAUCCAAGGCCAGUGUCACUGUCGGCCUGAUCAUCCCUACUUUCGACGAACAAGGAUUAUCUUCAAGCACUUACGAAUCAUGCUUCCUGGUCAUGCUAAUAGAUUUAUGGAGAAAAUUUGAUCAUGACUACCUCAUCCUCAAGGGUUUUGCAUUUAUAUAAAUCAGCCAAGUUUGAAUGUUUAUGUUCAGGUUCGAUUAGGGUUUGUGGCUUAAUCUUAUAAAAUUGAUGGGUACAAAAUUUUUAGUUUAAUGGCAAAAAUUUGAAUGGUAUUUUCUGUAUUUUAUGAAUGUAGGUCUUUUUCUCCCUAUGGGAUUCGGGUUGGGCCACUCUAAAGCCACUCCAGGGCAUUUAUAAAUAUAGGCCUAACCCAACCUUUAAUCAUAAGAUUUUGCUGGUUGUAUUGACCCAACCUAUGAAUCCUGGAAGAUUUUUAGUAUAGAGGCCUUAUAAUUUGUUUCCCUUAGCAAGGUCUUGUAAUGUUCAUGCUUUCUAGUCAUGCUUACAGAUUUAUGGAGAAAAUUUGAUACUAACUGCCUCACACUUAAGGAUUUUGCAUUUAUAUAAAUCAGCCAAUUUUGAAUAUUAUGUUCAGGUUCAAUUAGGGUUUGUGGCUUAAUCUUAUAGAACAGAUGUAUACAAGAUAUUUAAUUUCAUGGUAAAAAAUUUGAAUGGUACUUUCCAUAUUGUAGAAUGUGUUGUACUAGGUGGGUUCGAGUAACUAAAGUGGUCAAUGAAAAGAAAGCUUUCCUAUAGGUAAAUAUUCCAGACAUUUUAUGCUAAUAAUUCCUGCAGAUUCCAUUGCCCAUCAUCUUUAAAUUCUGCUCCGAGAAUGGCCGUAGACAUUUAGAAGUCCUCAUUAGAAUUUCAUCACCUUUUAAGCUUAUCCAGCAUAACUAUAUGCCAGCUGAGUACAUCAGUGCUCCAAUUGAGGGCCCCUGCAAGCCUCAUCACUACAGGUACUAGGAAUAAGGUGAGUGUGGCGUGAAGGCAACAAAAGCAACAUCAAGCCAAGAUGGGGAGCAAUGAAGGACAUCAGCCAUGUUUCUUCUUGGGUUUUGCUAACUAUAAGUUUGCCAUUUAUUUUUGGCUUUCUUUAAUCAUUGAGCUGUUUUGAAUGCUUUUUGAUUUUUAUGAUGAGGAUUGUAAUGAACAAACAAUGGUGAUCAUAGGUUUUUGUUUGUUUUUUCUAUCUUUACUUUGCUCUCUAUUUUUAGUUUCCUUUGAUUGCAACACUGUUCGAAUUAUUACAGAUUUUAAUGAUAAUUGAUGAUAAGGCAUGAUUUUGAUGAUGAUGAUGAAUGAAAAAGAGCAUGUUUUCCGAGAAAAAAAGAGGCUAUUAACAGUGAUGUUUUUCGAGCUAAGAGAGAGCAUGCAUAAAGUGCUAGAAGAUAAUAGAGUAACGGGGCCUUUGUAUCUAACAAGUUCAGAUGACCAAUUACUAACAUUAUCCAACCCAGAAACCAUACGUAGUAAAUAUUGAUUCUCACGCUGCCAACCAAUGAACAGAUUUACUUGGCAGGUUUAUCAAUACAGAGAAAUCCAAAAGAUUGCAUGCAACUGCUUUUAUUUUCACAUUAAUCAUGAAGAUGGUCAUAGGAUUUAUUCAACAUCACUCUCUCUGGACUCACUAGAAGUCAAUGGAAGUCUUUGCAGUACAACGCCCCCAGCCCAAUUGUCAUGAAUUUAUUUUUGCAUUCCAUUCUACUCUAGAGAAGCUGUACAUAUUUAUAUCCAUAUAUCAGAAGUGCAAUCCCCACCAGGAUACCUCAUCUCAUGAGCCAGUGAAGGGCCAUCAGGUUCAGCCCCGAAAUUAACGAAGAAGUUCGGAUUCACCGUCAGCCCACCUCGCUCUGUGUCCACAUCAAUUUGUAACAUAUGAGAGCCCUUCUUCACAAGAUCCUGACCAUAGAACUGACGGUCCCACGCGCUAAAGAGGGAAUUGGUCACGUACAGUCUUUUCCCAUCCAAGCUCAACUGGAUCAUUUGAGGCCCUCCUCUGAGUCGAUUUCCCUGAUAAAAGCGAAUUUUGGUUAAGUUAAUUGAUCAUACUAAUAUGCAAUCAUUAUGGGAAGUGCUUGUAUUAUUCCUACAAGCCUCCUAGGCUUGUUUCAGUGUACUGGAAGUCAUGAUAUUUAUGUUUUCAAAUAAAGUUUGUGAACACAUUUCCGCAUGACCGAGUUGAAUAUUGUACAAAAUACACAACUUUCAAUUUUAUAAUCUUUUUUCUGGUACUCAGCUUACAAUCUUUUUAUCUGUCUGUAGUAAUAACUCAUCAAAUGAAAUAUUGAAGUUUGUGUCAGAUUUUAAAAUGGUUCUCAUUUAAACUAAUAACAGAUGAAUACUUUUUUUUUUGCAUCAUUUUGAUAAAAUCAAAAUAAACAACAGUAUAAAGUAACCACGGAGCCAGAAUUUUCAAAAAAUUCAUUUACUUCCCUAUUUGCCCUCUCCCCCUCCUCCGACCCUUCUGCGGGCCAUCCAAAAAACGUCUCGAUAUAUUUGAUGGUGAAACUCCACAUUUUUUAAUCAUAGGAAAGAUGUCAUUUUAGAACACAAUCAAAAGUUUGGAUAUACUUCAGUUUCAAAUCAAGCAUGGUGUUACAGGAAAAAAAAUAGUAUAUACUAUAGCUCUAGUGGUUGAAUAUAGCAUUAAAACAAGGGAAUGAGAUGCGAUACUAAAGGAUGCAUGAAUCGCACCUUGAUAGAAGGUACAUCAAACUGCAACUCUUUCCCAUCCUCUGUCACAUAGACUACAUCGCUCCCCUUUUGGAGGAGUCCUCCCACCCAUACUUGGCCACUCAACACAGGCUUUGUAGGAUCUUCAAUGUUGUACUGUCUAAUAUCCCCAUGUAGCCAAUUAACAAAGUAGAGGAAGCGAUCAUCUAGCGAGAUGAGGAAGUCGGUUAUCAGUCCUGGCAUUUCAGGGAGAAUCCAGUUUUUUACCUUCAGUGAUGGCACCGAUAUCACCACCUGUAACAGCAAAUUCAGGAAGGAAAGGAUUUAAAAUAUCUGACAAAAGUGACUAACAUGAAAUACUGAAAGUUGAUUGAUGUUAAUUCGAACAUUGCACAUGGACUCAAUUACAAGUUUUGGGCACGGGUGCAUAUCCAAGAGUCAGAACCAUUAAACUUUUUUCCUUUGCACACAUAAUUAAGAGGCAUACCCAUACAUGCGUCGAAUAAUAUCAGCAUGGGUAUGUUGUGUUAAAUCAGAAUCCAGGCAACAUUAAUCUCCAGUUGGUUAGAAAAGAAGGCAAGAAAAUCAAAGAGCAUAGACAGACCUCAUGAUUCCAGGUUCCAUCUACGGUCUUGAAAAAUCUCACCAUGCUGCCGCUCAAAGCACAGCCAACAAAGCCAGUGUCCUUAGAAGGGUCAUGGAGAAAUCUUAUCUGCAGAAAAUAGAAAUGACUUUUAAAAGGUGCUUAUAUAGGGAUAGGUCCUGACCUUGAAUGAAAAAUAACUUGACACUGACUUCUAGAGGUAAAAGCCCUGCGUUGCCUAGGUCCAAUGUCUGUUUUAAUUCACCACCAGGCCAACUGUAUACAAAGAGGUGUCUUCCAUAUAAUCCAUCUUUAACAUGCCCAGGAUUAAAGCCCUUCGAAAAAGCUGCAGGAGCCCCCCAUGAUGUACUAAUCAUGGUCUUGUGUCGAGGCUGGUACCAGAAAUCAUAGCCAAACUGUGGGCUGUGACCUGGCUUUUCCCACCUGAGUGCUAACAAAAUAUAGUCAGAUCAAACCAUAUGGGAAGCUAAAUAUUUGAAUCAAAUGAAUUCACUGAAAUGACAAUAAACUCGAGUAAAAGGCAGGCUUCUGUCAACACCUUAAAACUUCAUCAUGAUGAUAAUAUUCCCUCAGAAAAAAUGAUGAUGAUGAUUUGUUACUACCUUCAAGUUUUUCCAAUUAUUAUAAUAUAGAUCAUUAUUUCAAAAAGCUUUAAUACAUGUUGAAAAGCAAAAAACAAAAAAGGGUUUUUUGCAUGAAUACCCUUCUAAAAAUUCAAAUUUGCGUGAAUACCCUUUAAAAAUUUAUAUUUAUUUUUGUAUCCUCAUAAAACACUACUUUUGCACAAAUGCCCCUAUAUAUGACGGUUCUUCUAACACCACUAUUAAUAAAAACCAUAUUUAUUUUAAUUAAAAAUAAAAUAGAAUUUUGAAAUUACUUUUUUAUCUUCCAUCACGAUCGCUUUAUAAAUAUUUCUUUUUGCACAUCUACCCAUUAAAGAUAUUUUAGUCAUUUUAAUUUGAAACUGUUAAUUUUUUAACGGCAUUAGAUGGCGUGGGUACAUAUGCAAAAAUAAGGAUAAAAAAGGGUAGAAUAGAAAUAUAAGUGUUUUAUGAGAGUAUACAUGCAAAUAUCAAUUUAGGAAGGAUAUUCAUGCAAAAUUCGAUAUUUAGGAGGGUAUUCAUGCAAAAAAACCCAAAAAAUAAUGCACUUUAUGAAUAGGUCAGAGGGAAUACGCAUACAGUAUAUGCACAGGCGCACACAAAGGAGCACGCAGAUUCGGACACAGACACACAGAGAAAGAGAGAGAGAGAGAGAGAGAGAGAGAGAGAGAGAGAGAGAGAGAGAUUAUAUUNNNNNNNNNNNNNNNNNNNNNNNNNNNNNNNNNNNNNNNNNNNNNNNNNNNNNNNNNNNNNNNNNNNNNNNNNNNNNNNNNNNNNNNNNNNNNNNNNNNNNNNNNNNNNNNNNNNNNNNNNNNNNNNNNNNNNNNNNNNNNNNNNNNNNNNNNNNNNNNNNNNNNNNNNNNNNNNNNNNNNNNNNNNNNNNNNNNNNNNNNNNNNNNNNNNNNNNNNNNNNNNNNNNNNNNNNNNNNNNNNNNNNNNNNNNNNNNNNNNNNNNNNNNNNNNNNNNNNNNNNNNNNNNNNNNNNNNNNNNNNNNNNNNNNNNNNNNNNNNNNNNNNNNNNNNNNNNNNNNNNNNNNNNNNNNNNNNNNNNNNNNNNNNNNNNNNNNNNNNNNNNNNNNNNNNNNNNNNNNNNNNNNNNNNNNNNNNNNNNNNNNNNNNNNNNNNNNNNNNNNNNNNNNNNNNNNNNNNNNNNNNNNNNNNNNNNNNNNNNNNNNNNNNNNNNNNNNNNNNNNNNNNNNNNNNNNNNNNNNNNNNNNNNNNNNNNNNNNNNNNNNNNNNNNNNNNNNNNNNNNNNNNNNNNNNNNNNNNNNNNNNNNNNNNNNNNNNNNNNNNNNNNNNNNNNNNNNNNNNNNNNNNNNNNNNNNNNNNNNNNNNNNNNNNNNNNNNNNNNNNNNNNNNNNNNNNNNNNNNNNNNNNNNNNNNNNNUGUGGAUAUUGCUCACCAUAAAAUGCAGCAGACUAAAAUUUACAAAUGAGGAAACAAUUCAGCUUGUCAUUCUUUUUCAUUUUCUAAACUUAGACUUGAAUGUACUAAAUUUUUCUAACUUAAUGCAUUUCUAAUUACAUCCAUAAACACAACCUUAUCUCCUCAAUCUAUCAACUAUUGGAAUUUUGAACAAAGAAAUGGAGAUGAAGAUGGAUUUUAUCUCUUUUUGCUUCCGAACUAAUUAAGAUAGUGGAUGAGAAAAGGUAAACCAAAUGAUAGUAGAAAAGGAACAAUUGGAUUUUUCUCACUUGCUUUGAUAGAAUAACAAGGCAUUACUUUCAUCUUACAGUAACUGCAGGGAAUCCUCAUUGUUGAGGAAUUUGUUGCUGAAGCAUAUGAUAAUGGAGAAUCUUCCUGUAAAUGUAUGGUGCUUGAUUUAUGAAAAUAGUAAAAGAGUUGUUCUAAUUUCUCUACCAUCAUCAUAUGCAAGUCAUUUGUAUCUUGGGAGAGAUUUUCCAUCCUCUACUCCAGUGUAUGUAUAUUUUUAUCCAUGGCACCUAACUUCUCUCCCUAGAUCAGCAAUAUUAGCACAAUAAUUGUUGCUUUAUGCAUAUAAACCAAAACACUAAAGGGACCUGUAUUUUAGUACAAUCCGCAUUCCAUAUAAUAUGCUGAUAUGAUGAAAACCAUAACUACCAAGUCUUAUUCCAAAUAUUUGGUUUCAUCUCUAUAAAUUCUUAACUACCAAUCAUUCAUAAUACAUAAGCUUUCCCAAAAUAUUUUCCAUAACUUUUGUCCAUGUUAGCUAUCUUGUGAUCCUCUAUCUAGACCCUUUGACACAGAUUUGAGCAACUCCUCCAAUCUCCGACGCAUAAGCCCCUAUCAGCUCAAUACUUCUCCAUUAUUUUGUUCUUAAUUAGUAGCACCCUCCUACAUUUACCAUGCAUCAAUCUCAACAUUCUCAAAUCUUCUAUGGUGACUUUCAGGCAGCACACGUGUUCAGGGAGGCGAACCGGGCAGCGGACUGGGUCACCUCCUUUGUCGCCCGGCAUUUUGGAGAUUUUCUGUGGAUGUCUGUAUCAGAUGUUCCUCCUCCUUUAUAUUUUUUACUAUCCUGUGAUCUGACAGGCUGUACUCACAUUAGAGCUCUAUGAAAUAAGUAACCGCUUUUACCAAAAAAAAAAAGAAGAAGACUGGAGAAAUGGGAGGCGAUUAUAGACUAAAGUUAGGAAAUAAGUGAAGAUAAUACUUCUUUGAGGUCCUCCAAAAGUAAUGAACCACCACUAUAUUAUAUGCCACUUUGCAAACACUAUUCUAUAAAGGCACUGAGAAGCUUCUAAAACCUGAUUCUCAUGUAUCUAGGACUUGCUUAAUACAGCAUAAACCCAAAGUAAUACUGCUUCAAGAAACUUCAAUUCAGUUUCUGCUAACCUUCAUAGUUGAGCUGGAAUAAACUCAACAUGAGCCAAGCAUCAAAAGCAUUUUAAGACCCACCAUAGCAACCCCCCUUCCCCAUAGGGGAAAAGAUUUAAAAACAAAACAAAACUCAUGUUUAUCAAGUUCUUUGAUAUUAGAUCCACAAUGAAGGAUGUGAGUAAUGAGAAAUUUCUAACUUGUAAGAAGAAGAAAAAAAUCCUAGAACAUUUUAAUUCCUUAAAAAAUUUUAGCAAUCAUUGAGGCUCAUAAAACUUCAUGGCAUGCAUAUUCUUAGUCAUGAUUAGAGGUAUAAUCGAAAGUUAAGCGUCAAAACUUAUCAUAGAGCAUUCAAGUCAUUAAAGUCAUGAAGUCUAGGGCACAAUGGCCAAGUCUAACCCGAAGGGUUUUCAAGAAAUGGCAAAGACCCAAUGAUGCAGCUAAUGAAACUAAAGUAUAUAAGAUGUUCUAUAAUAACCACAUCAUGCAUUGUAAAACAAUCCUUCAAACCAAAGAAAAAAGCAGUUUCAUUAUUUUACUUGUAUUAAUGCUUAAGUUUGCAUGGUGGCAACUAAGUCUGUAAUUUCCUGCAUGAUUACUUGCUACAUUGAAUAAAGUUUACCUGAACACCUGGUUGGCACUCCUCUCCUACUUGAGAGAAGUCCUGGUUUCAGACCUGGGUGGCGGCACUCCGACCAUGUUUCUCAAGAAAAAUGGAACAGAGCUUCAAAUCAGUUUUGAAUUUCAACUAUAAAUUUAAUCAAGCACCAACUAGAAGAUACAUUGCAUAAUAGGGAUUUUCAAGGACUCUACACAAGUUGGAGAUAGCCACUUUUGGAUCCAAGAAGUACCUAAUUGAGUUAUCUAGUGUUUUUUUUAUUCUUUAGAAUGUUAUUAGUUUAAGUUUAUUUUAAUGCUAAUUUUGAACUUUAUACAGUAUCGGUGAAGAUCAUAAACCUGUUGCUCGUUGAUUGUUUAAAUUAAAGUUAUACAGAUCCCCUUCUUGGCAUUCCAAAUUUACUAGAAUCUGUUAAGUCUUAGAAAUGGCAAGCCAGAUAGUGCACAUUAAGUGCAAAAUUAAACAUUAUAGUUUUCCAUGCAAUUUUACCUGAAUCAAAUUCCCAAGAUGUAAAUCAUGACAUGGAUGGAAAUUCUUCUCAGAGUUAUAUGCGCUGUAUGUAAGCCUUUGGUUUUAAAACAUCACAUAAAAGAGAAUAAGAACAUCUAAGGUUGCCCUUUUGAAAUGGAGAAUUGAUCAUGUAGGAGUAAACUUCAAAGGAAAUGGAAUUAAUGGACAAAUAUAAAAAGGAUAAUAACCAUCAUCUAUCACGCUGGAAAACAAAGAUAGAUAGAGAAAGCUUCGCAUGUAAUGCAAAAUAGAUAACAUGCACAGUGAAGUAUAGACUUGAAUAACAACUUGAUACCAUUUUGAAGACACUAACUCAUGAAUUUUCUAGUAGGGAAUAGAAAAGGGUAAAGAGCAUCACAAUCUUGCUGCACUAUUCAUAUGUAAAGAUCUCAUUGAUCUAUUUUGCUUCUAAUAACGUAUUAAGUUAGUUAAGUCUUACAGAAAAAUGAUGUUGUAAAGCAAGAAUCCAACAUGCUAGUUUCAUUUAUAAUAUUUAGCUACAUCUGAGAUUCGAAAGAGUAGCACCUUCCUUUGACAUUGAAAUGCGAGUCUAGGAGCAGGAAGCCACUCCCUUCUGCAUUUCCAUCUUUGUCUCCAAGGCAAGACAGCAUUAUUUCACCAGAUGCAAGGCAAUGGGAAGUGUGAGGAUAUGCUAAUCCAGUUUUUUGCUCAAUAUCCGUCGGCUCAACCACCUUGUGAAAAGCUGGAGCUCUCGGAUUUGUUGCAGUGUCAACAACAUAUAUGCGGCUUGACCUGGAAAAAAUAGAGGAACAAUAACAUCUCAAGAAUGAAAAUCUUCUAGGAUAUACAAAUGGUAACUGUCCAAGCCUUUCAUUUCCUUAAUGAAAGGAGUGAGUGGUGGGUCUACUCCCUUUCAUGCAAGAGAAAAGAAAGAAAAAAGAAGAAGAUAGCAGAUAGUAAUGGAGAACUAAGCCAUAUUAUCACUGAUUGGAAAAGGAAAAUAAAAACAAAACUUUGAAGCAUGAGGACACAAAGCAAAAUACUCACAUGAAGGACUAAGUCAGCACCAUAAGGCCUUGAGUGAUACACAGCAUAAUAUAAUUAAACACUUCAUUUAUAUUGAAGACAUGCUGUACUCAAUGAGGAUAGAUAGAACAAUUGUUUUUUUUUCCUUUCUAUUCACAGUGAAUUCACUAAAAGAACAUCUCCAUUCCUUUUUCCCCACCUAUAUGAACUUCUGCUCUUUUUCGAAACAAGAUGUACUAAUAGAGGACAGCAAUACAUUUAGUUUUCUUAUCCUCUAACUGAGGUAAACUCAACGAAAGGACAAACAUAUUAAUUUUCUUCUUCCUCUCCAGCCUUGAUUUCUAAUCUUUAAUAACCUUGUAGUAAAGUGCACUAGAGCAGUUAGAAGACCACAUAUUUCUAAGGUAACAGACCAGGUAUUCUUUUAUCCGCUACAUGCUUUUAUCAGAGUUUUCUGCACAUUUAAGUAGAAUUGGUUGAAUUGGCAAAGCUCAAUAUUAAGAGUAAAUACUUUUGCCAUCCGAUAUAGAAUUUCAUCAUAUGAAAACCUCCAAAUCAUGUUCUAGUGACUUGACCUCCCAGCUUGAACAGAUAAGCAAUGGUCAGCAAUUGCAGUAGUUCAGAAUUAAAGCAAGUCCUAUAUCACAUCUAGCAUUUAAAAGAUGUCAAAACUGCAAUAGAUGGAAAAGGGAACAAUAAAAAUUAUCAACUCUCUGAGAAAGAUGAUUUGCUAAUGUACAAUGAACACCAGAGUAACUGGACAUACACCAAUGAAGGCAAGACCAGGAAACGCCGAACUGCUGACGGAUCACUGUGGCAGGAGCUGCAGGAAUUCCAACCAAAGUGAUGCAACUCAUCACCUACAUGGGCCGCAGGCAGCCUAUGGAUAACUUUAGAAUAGGUCGGUGAGCUAGGAUCGACAUCCACUGUUGCCAAGUAAUCAGGUUUCUCUAUUUCAGUUCCUGUGUAUGAUAAAAAAAAUUAUCAUGAGGUUAGAUAUUUCCAAAUUACUGUAGCCAAUGCUAACUAGUUUGGGCCAAGGCUUAGUUGAGUUGAGUAUACUUCCAAAUUACUGCAUGCAACAUGUGAAACUAGAUAAUGAUGGUUCAGACAGAGUUACUAGUAUCACUGUGCUCUUGCUAACAUAAAAUUAAAAAAUAAUUGAGUCUCUUUAUACCAAGUUGUAGAAAAAUCAAUUAGCACUUUGAGAAAAUAUUGAGUUAAGAAGCAAAAAAUUGAACUACCACUCUAGCCACCCACACCCUCCAUUAAAAAAACAAAAUCCACACUUUUUCAAACAGAGUCAGGCCUUGAUGCAACAAUAUGUGUGAGGACCUGUGCGAGCAUGUGUUUAGUCCCACAUCAGCUAUACACUAGGUGUAUCUUGCGUACUUAUACAGAACUAAGGAAUCCUAUAACAUCUUUCGACUAGCCUUUUUAGAUAAAAUCUUGGAUUGUUACAAAUAGCAUCAAAGCAGACUUGAUCCAUAGCCUAUGUGGCAUAGGGGAUACUAUAGCACAAGCUCAUUUGGGUUGACUAUAGGUUGGUCAUAGUGUUCGUACUUAGGUUGGUAGUAGUUGUGAUUAGAUUUGUAUGGAUUUGGAUCCUUAGCCUAGCAAAGGCACCAGAGCUUAAACAGAGGGAGCAUGUGAAGACUUGUGUGUUUAGUCCCACAUUGACUAUGCACUGGAUAGAUCUUAGAUAGUUAUAUAGGGCCAAGAAACCCAAAUAAUAUCUUUCAGCUAACUUUUUGUGGUGAGGUCCUGGGUUAUUAUAGUAAGGUUGCUCUAUUGUGAUAUGGGCAUCAUUGGUUGGAAAAACAGAAAUAGCCUCUCCACAUGCGGAGAUAUGGCUGUGCAUUUCUGACCUUCCCCAAACCCCGCCAAGGUGAGAUCCUCGUGCACUAUGACACACUUUUUUUACACUUUUUCAAAUAGACGUUGGACAAAAAAAACAAUAAAGUAUAAUAAUUAAAAGUUUCUAAAAGUAUAUGACUUGACAAGCACCAUCAAUAGUAUAGUUGUCAAAGUGGACUAAGAUAUGAGUGUUCUAAAAGUAUUCAUAGAUGUGGCAAGCGAUCAACACAAUCCUCUAUAGAAGUUCAAUGAGUUUUAAAAGGAAUACAGAUAAGAAUACUAACAUUGUAAAGAUGCCUAAAAGAGCUAUUAAUAUACAAGAUGUUGAGACAAAACAAAGAACAAAUAGUAUAUAGACCUAUAACAAGAUUGUAAACAAACUGCAAAUUGUGCAUGAAUUUUAAAAAAAGGGUAAACUCCUAGAAACCCUGUUCC